AAGAGUUUAUGUGGGGGAAGUGUGGGGGGCGACGCAGGGAACGACCAGGAAGGGAAAAACCCUUCUUCUUGCCCUAGCUCCUCAAACCACAAGCAAUUGAAUGAGUUUCUGGCCCUAAUUCGAAUGCAUGUCAGCGAUUUCUCAACUAUCUAAGAGUUCCCUACAUAGGGAAUCAUGUCAAAAUGGUUGAGAGCAUGGAAGGCUAACGGGCUAAGAAGACUCAAGUAAAAUAAACGCAAAUACGGACGCACAAGGUAAGUGAAUUCCGGACUUACACUUUAGAUGUAAAAUGUAUUGUAGUAUGAUGAUUAUUGUGAAACAUGUGAGAAAGUAUGAGACAAUGGAAGUAAUAAGGUAAGUUUACGGUAAAUGAGUCGAAAGUAGUUAAGAAAUAGUUUCUAUUAAGUAUAGGUAAGAAGGAAUCAUACGUGAUGAUAUUAUGCAUAAAGGUGAAAUAAGUAGUUAUACGCGUAGGCAUGGGUAUAAUUGUAAGUAAGCAAUUGGGAUCCAUAGGAGAGAAUGACAAUGAACACAUAAGUAUGGAUAAUUAUGUGUAUACAAUUUACAUGUAUAGAUGGGUGUGUUUAGGAUUUAUAAGUAAUAUGUGUAGAAUGUAAAUUUGUAAGUACAUGUACGGAUAGAAAGGGUAUGUAUGCAUGAAUUGGAAUUUAGUUAUAUGUACAAUUGAAUGAGACUUGUUAUGUGUAUACAUGGAUAUGUUCGUAUGAAUGAAAUUUAAUGAUGCUAAUCGUUUUCCUAUUGAGAAUGAAAUAGAAAUGCAGGUAUACUUGUGACGGAAGUUGAAGGUAGACACCGAAAUCCAAUGCGGGUGGUUUAAAUGAUGGUAAAGGGUCUAACAUAAGCAAAAGCAUGAUAUGUCGACGCCUAAUUAUGCAUGUUUAAAUUUUAUGUAUGAUGACACCGGUUACUAAUAAUGUGAUUGUACGUGGUGUCUGCAGGUUGUACAGAACCGUGAAUUCUCAUCACGAAGCGUAAGCGGUCGAAGAUCGAGUCAAGUCGUGGAUUGUACGUGUGGGUGCGUGGUCACGUAAUUUAUUAUAAGUAUGUCAGAUUGUAUAAAUUUAUAGAAAGCAUUAAUGUAUUUAAUGUAAAAGAGUGAUUUAAUGUAGUUCUAAGUAUGUUAGAAUGAAUAUAAUGAAAGAAAAUUUUAAGUUC